rnacentral:rRNA from 1 species
UACGAAGGGGGCUAGCGUUGUUCGGAAUUACUGGGCGUAAAGCGUGCGCAGGCGGCUUCUCAAGUCAGGGGUGAAAGCCCAGAGCUCAACUCUGGAAUUGCCUUUGAGACUGAGUGGCUUGAGUACGAGAGAGGUGAGUGGAAUUCCCAGUGUAGAGGUGAAAUUCGUAGAUAUUCGCAAGAACACCAGUGGCGAAGGCGGCUCACUGGCCCGAUACUGACGCUGAGGCACGAAAGCGUGGGGAGCAACAGGG